rnacentral:rRNA from 1 species
AUUGAACGCUGGCGGCAGGCCUAACACAUGCCCGUCGAACGAGUGGCGGACGGCUGAGUAAUGUCUGGGAAACUGCCUGAUGGAGGGGGAUAACCACUGGAAACGGUAGAUAAUACCGCAUACCAUCGGAUGUGCCCAUAUGGGAUUAGCGAGUAGGUGGGGUAACGGCUCACCUAGGCGACGAGCCCUAGCUGGUCUGAGAGGAUGACCAGCCACACUGUAACUGAGACACGGUCCUGGCUCCUACGGGAGGCAGCGGUGGAGAAUAGUGCACAAUGGGGGCGAGCCUGAGGCAGCCAUGCCGCGUGUAUGAAGAAGGCCUUCGGGUUAUAGAGUACGUUAAGCGCGGAAACGUUUCCCUCAGAAGAAGCUCCGGCGAACGCCGUACCAGCAGCCGCGGUAAUUC